CCGCCAGGUAAGAAGUGCCCUUCACCUUCUGAGGCCUCCCCAGCCAUGUGGAACUGUAAUCACUGCCUUCCACUCUCUAGUAGAGACCAGCUUCCUGACGAGAAUGAGAAUGUCUGAGGGAUGUAGGAUAUUUUGGAACACAGACCACUUCAGGCACCAUGGAAAUCCUGGGUGGAAGCCAGAGUGGGAAAGCCUAAGGCAGCAGAAUAGGAUUCAGCCUGGAGAGAUGGGAAUGAGCCAUCUUUCUCCUCUCUUUUAACAAAGCACCCUCGCUGUUGGUCCCUGCAAGCUUCAAAGAAUAAAAGGCAAUGCAGAGAAGGCUGGAGAUCAGGAGAGCAAUGGUGUAUUUCCAGUUUGAGUCCGAAGGCCUGGGAGUCAGCAGAGCUGCUGGUAUAUUUAUGCCCAAAGGCCAAUAAACUCAAGACCCAGGAAAAGCCGAUGUUUCCAUUUGAGUCCAAAGGCCUUUGAAAGGGUCUCAGAAACCCCUGAGUACUCCCUGGAUCACACUUUGAGAACCACUACUGAGGACAAGAUAGAAAAGACCAGGGUCCCCAGUUGGUUGCAUGGAGCAGAACCCUCUAACCGCCCCACUCCCUACCCCUAGGACGAGCUACCAGCAUAGGUCUUCAUAUAAAUUGUAAAUAAACCUUCUACUACCU
rnacentral:lncRNA from 1 species